rnacentral:misc_RNA from 1 species
GUAGGUGAACCUGCGGAAGGAUCAUUAUCGUGGGGCCCCGGCCCCGUCGAGAUAGAACCCUUGCCUUUUUCGAGUACCCAACCGUUUCCUCGGCAGGCUCGCCUGCCAGUGGGGACCCAAACCAAACCCUUCCACCCUGUACACGUCUGAGAAACAAACAAAAGUUUAAAACUUUCAACAACGGAUCUCUUGGUUCUG